ACCUGAGCCGAAGUCUGACAUUCAACUCACUGAGCCACCCAGUGCAAUCGGGCCCCACCCCGGACCAUCUGAAUCUGAAUCUGCCUGUGAACCAGAGACUUCAGUGACUCAAAGGCACAGCUAGGCACACUCAGAAGUGCGGCUCCUCGAAGUCCUUGCUCCUGCCCCCUCAUGUCCUGCUGUCAUCCAGGCCACCUCCACGAGCAGGAGCCUCUGGGGCCGUGCCAGAAGGAGUGGCCCUAUGUCCCCUCAGCUUCCUCCGUGCGUGCUCCACUCUGUCCUUCACCACGAUCCACUUUCCCUUUUCGACCCUUUGGAGAGGGGCGCCUGGGUGGCUCAGUUGGUUG